AUUGAACGCUGGCGGCAGGCCUAACACAUGCAAGUCGAGCGGAUGAAGGGAGCUUGCUCCUGGAUUCAGCGGCGGACGGGUGAGUAAUGCCUAGGAAUCUGCCUGGUAGUGGGGGAUAACGUCCGGAAACGGGCGCUAAUACCGCAUACGUCCUGAGGGAGAAAGUGGGGGAUCUUCGACCCCCACGCUAUCGGAUGAGCCUAGGUCGGAUUAGCUAGUUGGUGGGGUAAAGGCCUACCAAGGCGACGAUCCGUAACUGGUCUGAGAGGAUGAUCAGUCACACUGGAACUGAGACACGGUCCAGACUCCUACGGGAGGCAGCAGUGGGGAAUAUUGGACAAUGGGCGAAAGCCUGAUCCAGCCAUGCCGCGUGUGUGAAGAAGGUCUUCGGAUUGUAAAGCACUUUAAGUUGGGAGGAAGGGCAGUAAGUUAAUACCUUGCUGUUUUGACGUUACCAACAGAAUAAGCACCGGCUAACUUCGUG
rnacentral:rRNA from 1 species